rnacentral:lncRNA from 1 species
GGCGAGGAAGGGCGGCCACACGGCCCGAGCUGGGAGUCCCACAGUCCCGCAGCGGCGACGCCGCCACCCGCCGAGUGCCGAGGCCCGGGGCCCACUCCCAGCCCAGCUCCAGGAGAGGCCGCGCCGGAGGACCGCGAGGACGGCGCCGCAGCGCCAGGUCGGGCUGAGGUAAGGGAGGAAAUGGAGCGAAAAGUGGCGGCGGGCAGAGGGCCCCGGGCGGGCGGAGAAUCGCUGACGAGGGCAUUUCGGAAGGAACUGAACCUAGGAGCACAGGGCUCCCUCCCGGGAAGGCAGGGCGUGACCCUGGAGCCGCCGGUCCCUCUUGCCGCGGCCCCAGGCGUGGCUGGCGCGCUCCAGGAUCUGGAGCUUCUACAAGUUUGCUUUGUUUCCUGCUUUUGCAUCUAAAAACCCGCUCUCUCCUCGCCCGCCUGCCGGAGACCAGGACUCUGGCCCGUCUGCCUCCCUCCGGCGUCGUCUCCGGGAGCGCGGGCGCGGUGGGGCCUGCAGGCCGGGCUGGGACCAGGCGCGCCUUGGGGCGCGAGUGGCUCGGCCGUCGCCGCAGAACCCGCUCCCUGCGAAACAGCCGCACCCGCUCCCUGGGAGAGUCAUGAGAACUGGGGUCGCGCCUGACCCCCGCGCCCGAAGAAAACCAGCCCGCGGACCCCGCCACACGGGCCGUGACCCGAGCCCCGCGCGCCGUCCCGAACGCGCGCGGUGAAAACGCCCCGCUGCGCCGGCCUUGCUCGGUCCCCCUCCUCCACCCCCACUUCUCCGGAAAAAAAAAAUUCUGAAUUGGGAACGAAGACCCGAAAAACUCGCCAUGACCAUUCCCCUCCCCGGCCCCUAGCUUCGGCCCGGAAGGCCCCUCAGGGCAGCGGCCGUGGGUACCACGACCCGGCCAGUUCCCCUCGCCGCGGACCGACCGGGCAGGGCCAACCCAGGACUGUUCCGGGGAGGGGAGCAGGGUAGGGGAGCGAAUGUUGGGGUUCGUUCGUGGGUCACCCAGAACUGGGCGCACGCUGGCGGCGCCCGGACUUCGCCUACUGUCCGCCCGGUGCCACCCGCGCGGCUCGCGCCAGACGCAGCCUGGCGGUCCCUGUCCUGUCUUCGAGUAUUUGUUUUUAAUGCUGGGUGUCGAUCGAGACAACAAGCGCUCAGAGCAAAGCAAGGAUGCAUUACGGGGGUAAUUUUAAACCGAUCGAUAAGAUUUUUCAGAGAAAAAAAAAUCGCUCAUAGUCCAUAUUUUUUAAGAAAAAAAAAAGCCUCAACAUUUUAACGGAUUUUGUUAAAAGGGAAGAUAUAUACUUCUUAACAUCACAAUCCUGAAUUUCUUUUGCUAAAAAAAAUGUAAAACCCCAAAGCCAGAAUAAAAAAUAAAAUAAUAAUAAAAAUACAAAAACAAAAAAAAAAUGAAAGCAAUUUCAGUUACUUACUGGAGGCUGUUUCCUGGAUACAACUGAAUGCAAUACAAUUAAAUCAG